rnacentral:tRNA from 1 species
GGGCCCUUAGCUCAGUCGGUCAGAGCGGGGGACUCAUAAUCCCCUGGUCGCAGGUUCGAGUCCUGCAGGGCCCA